AUUAGCUUGUUGGUGGGGUAACGGCCUACCAAGGCGACGAUGGUUAGCUGGUCUGAGAGGAUGAUCAGCCACACUGGGACUGGAACACGGCCCAGACUCCUACGGGAGGCAGCAGUGGGGAAUAUUGCGCAAUGGGCGAAAGCCUGACGCAGCAACGCCGCGUGGGUGAAGAAGGCCUGAGGGUUGUAAAGCACUUUCAAUUGUGAAGAAAAGUUAACGGUUAAUAACCGUUGACCUUGACGUUAACUUUAGAAGAAGCACCGGCUAACUCCGUGCCAGCAGCCGCGGUAAUACGGAGGGUGCAAGCGUUAAUCGGAAUUACUGGGCGUAAAGCGUGCGUAGGCGGUUUAUCAAGUCAGAUGUGAAAUCCCCGGGCUUAACCUGGGAACUGCAUUUGAAACUGGUCAACUAGAGUAUGGUAGAGGAAAGUGGAAUUUCUGGUGUAGCGGUGAAAUGCGUAGAUAUCAGAAGGAACAUCUAUGGCGUAAGGCAGCUCUCUGGCCCAAUACUGACGCUGAGGUACGAAAGCGUGGGUAGCAAACAGGAUUAGAUACCCUGGUAGUCCACGCCGUAAACGAUGAUAACUAGCCGUUGGGGGGAUUUACCCUUUAGUGGCGAAGCUAACGCGUUAAGUUAUCCGCCUGGGGAGUACGGCCGCAAGGCUAAAACUCAAAGGAAUUGACGGGGACCCGCACAAGCGGUGGAGCAUGUGGUUUAAUUCGAUGCAACGCGAAGAACCUUACCUGGUCUUGACAUCCUGCGAACUUUCUAGAAAUAGAUUGGUGCCUUCGGGAACGCAGUGACAGGUGCUGCAUGGCUGUCGUCAGCUCGUGUCGUGAGAUGUUGGGUUAAGUCCCGUAACGAGCGCAACCCCUAUCCUUAUUUGCCAGCACAUUAUGGUGGGAACUAUAAGGAGACUGCCGGUGAUAAACCGGAGGAAGGCGGGGAUGACGUCAAGUCAUCAUGGCCCUUACGACCAGGGCUACACACGUGCUACAAUGGGAAGGACAAAGAGCCGCGAAGCCGCGAGGUGUAGCUAAUCUCACAAAUCUUCUCGUAGUCCGGAUUGGAGUCUGCAACUCGACUCCAUGAAGUCGGAAUCGCUAGUAAUCGUAGAUCAGAAUGCUACGGUGAAUACGUUCCCGGGUCUUGUACACACCGCCCGUCAUACCAUGGGUAGUGGGUUGCACCAGUAUAGUGGCUAGUCUAACUUAGUGAGGACAGUCAC
rnacentral:rRNA from 1 species